rnacentral:rRNA from 1 species
AACGAACGCUGGCGGCGUGCUUAAGACAUGCAAGUCGUACGGAAAGGCUCUCUUCGGAGAGUACUCGAGUGGCGCACGGGUGAGUAACGCGUGGGUAACCUGCCCCCGAAUUUGGGAUAACUCCGCGAAAGCGGAGCUAAUACCGGAUAAGACCACAUCCGCUCCGGCGGCAGAGGUAAAAGCUGACCUCUCCAUGGAAGUUAGCGUUUGGGGACGGGCCCGCGGCCUAUCAGCUUGUUGGUAGGGUAAUGGCCUACCAAGGCUACGACGGGUAGCUGGUCUGAGAGGAUGAUCAGCCACACUGGAACUGGAACACGGUCCAGACUCCUACGGGAGGCAGCAGUGAGGAAUUUUGCGCAAUGGGCGGAAGCCUGACGCAGCAACGCCGCGUGGGUGAAGAAGGCUUUCGGGUCGUAAAGCCCUGUCAGGUGGGAAGAACCGCUCCGGUACUAAUAAUGCCGAAGCCUGACGGUACCACCAGAGGAAGCACCGGCCAACUCCGUG